ACAUUAGAGCCUCAUUACAGCUCAGAGCUCUUCUGAGAAGUAGAUUUCAGUCAUUCUGACUUUUGGAUCUAAACACUUUUUUCAGAAAUGUGGAACUUCUCGUAGAUGUGCACUUACUGAUAACAGCCAUGACUUUCAUGGUUCCCUCCUGUUUUGAACCCAGCUGCUUUUCACAUUUCUGACUGGAUUUAUAUGGGCGUAUCUCUGAGCAUACACCUCCUGUGUAGGUCUAAACUACGUCCCCUUUCUUUCACGUACUUGCAUAAAUCUAGAUGCUUCACUCUGUGUUUCGUAAUCCUUCCAUAACUUCGAAGAUAGCAGUUUUUUCUCUCGAAGUACUGCCUGUUCCCCUGUACACAAACGCACGCGCACACAACAUGUGCUCAUUCAGAAAGAAUUUUGAACAACGAGCAUUCGAAAACAUUGGUUGACAAACUCUUUCCUUGCGGCUUCCCUCCAGAAGUGGCUGCUAUUACGAUGCUUUUCUUGGUUAAUUUUCAGUUGGAUGAGACAGGUCACUAGCUUCAGACUCCAGCAAGAGCCUCCCUUUGCUCUUCUCUUAGCCCUUACAAACUUCCCUCGCGUUUGCAGUCAGCAGCAGAGACAUGGCUUCAUGUGAUCCUGCACUCAUCCCUAAACCUCCUCCGCAGAGAGACAGGACUUAUGGACAAGAUAUUCAUCGUAAGGAAGCAGACAUAUUUUGUGGUCUUGAGAUAUUUUUUUUGGAGUGGGAGAAUGUUGAUGGUUCUUCAGCAUAGCUUUUGCUGUAGUUUUUACUUCACGUAGACCCUAACAUUUUCCAGACCGUUUCUAAGAAAAGCCAAUGUCAGUUAUAGAUUGCUGUUAAGCACGAAGUAGCAUUGAAUAAAUAUGGGCAGUAUUCAUUUACACCAAAACAAAUCGUAGUCCUUAAUUAUUUGUUGGACUGUAGUGCAGUACGACUUUCAAACAGUCUUGGACCCAAGGUAGAUGUGAGGAUGCCCCUGGGCACUCAUCUGUCUAGAAAGACAAUACCAGAAUACUGGUGGUAAAAUGGAUCAUCUGAGAUCUUUGCAGAGGGUGGAGAAGUCUCCCAGGUAAGAACACCUCUGAGUGAAAGAGGAGCAAACAAAAACGUCGAGAGAGGAGCGAUGAGACCGCAGGCUGGUGGAGCAGAUGACUCAAGUCCAGGAUCAUUUGUAUAUGUGUAAAUUUUGACCCGUGCAGAAGUGAUUACUCAGGGUUUGCAAUGCAUUGCUGAAGGCCAACAGCCCACUGCCUUCAGACUUCAGCUUCAGCAGGGUAAAUGACAGUCCCAGUCCACUGAAGUAUUCCAAUAGUGGGCCUUUCCAGGAAUAGGUUUAAAUUGCUCCUUAACAUCUUACCCAUAUUGUGAACUUCUGUGCUGGGACAGAGUUGCUGCUCUGUAUUUUCUGUCCUGUGCAUUAACGGGGUGUACAGAGCUUUGGGGUAAGCAGACCCUUGCAUUCCAUAGAGCUGGAAGAAAGACACUAAAAUAUCAGUUUGGGAAACCAAAACAUCUCUCCAAGGUUGAAUUUUGUCUUCCCACAAUUUAAAUGCGAAAAGUAAUAAGAAUCUUAACAAAACCUUUUAUGUAACUUCAGUGUUACAGUGAUCAGUUUCAGGGCUGACGUGACAGCAAUUAUAAACAACAGUUACGCAACUGCCUCGUUGAUUGAGUUGAAAUUAAUACAGAGAAAGAAAGAGCCAAACAAGAAGAAAUGGCUUUGGGUUAACUUGUUGUUUUAAGGAAAUAAAAAAUGCGCAGCUCUGCCUCCUUCCCAAAAGUGAGGGCAAGCCCAGGAUGAAAAACCUCUUUGAAAAAACAGGCAGUGAACUGCUCUUAAAAAUUCUGCUUGUGGUACAGGCAGAAUUUUGUUUACUGUCUUAAGACUUGCAGCUUUUUUUAAUUUGAAAUCUGACAGUGAGGUAAUUCAAUAUUUUAAUUUUGCGUUCCUAUUUUAAAUUCCUUUCGAAAGAGCUGUUCAGCACGUUGUUUUGUUGAGCACUGUGAUUGCAGUGUCACUGGUUCACGCUGUCUGCGGUGAAGGCCCACGUAUGCAUGCACUUUAUUUCCUGCUCUCACCAUCUGGCAGGCAUUCAGAUGUCUUUGAGUGGAUCUGAAGGCAACAUGGCUGCUGCACGUUGCAUGGUCAGCAUCUGGUAUCUCAGGGAGGGAUGCUUCCUUGGGCUGAAAACCCAUUUGGUAGUACACUAUUUCAUAGAAGGAAAACAAAAGUUCUUUGUGCAGCUGGCUGGCAAUGCCCAAGUCCUGCAUCUAUUAUACAGGAGUUGUACCUGACUCUCAUUUUCCGUGAUCCAUCAGAUAAAGGCAGGAUGCAAUUACUGUGCAGUGCCAUUAAAGAUUUAGUACGGACAUGAGCUAACCUGGAAUUAAUUUGCAGUUGUGAGACAGAUGUAGAAAACAAUCCCCGAGUGGAUUUCUUAUCACAGAAAUUCUGUGGCUUUUUUGUUUCUCCAGUAUUUUUCCUGCUCAUGGUCAAGAAGAGGUGGGGGACAGGAAACAAACCUGUUUCUUUGCUCAUCCGUGCCUUUGAGAAUGCAAGGAUGCAGAGGAGCUCUGGUUCGUCGCUACCAUUGGGAGGAGGUAGCAGAUUUUGGAGGCACUUAGACAAAGUGGGUUUGUUGCACAUCCCACUGAUGUGUGUACAAGUGUGAGUCAUUCCGUGUAUUUACUACCCUGUAUGUAGCAGGUUCAGUGAGCAAAAUGCUGAAGAAAACCUGCAGAAUAUAGUGCACUCGCUAUUGCUGCAUGCACAGUCAGCUGUGAUGAGCCUUUGUGUUGGAUUCCCUGCCAGGUUUGCCAGCAGUUGGCAUUGGAGAAGUGGCUUCACCCCACACAGACCUAUUGUUGAGGAAGAAAGCUGAUCUCUAAGCUGCCCAUUUGAGCUGUUAAGUUUCCAAAUGCCACUUGUUUACACUUUCCUGAUCCAGUAACUCAGUGUUGCAUAUUACCCUUGGUGUGCUGUUGGCUGACAUGAAGAGCGUGGUUAAUGUUGCCAUCUUACUGUCCUUGUUUGCCUUGCCUGCUUUCUUCCUUUGGUCUGUUGCUGUAGACUGUAAAGGAGCAAGGAAUGAGUGAAAGCUCACACGGCCUUUGACAUCUUUCCAGGCCAGUAAUAAAGCACUGGGAGGUUAAAUUUUAUGUUUUGCAUAGCUUUCCCCUCUGGAGACAUGAGAAGAAUUAUAGGAGUUUGACCUAUUCUGUGGUUAGGCAACUGUGAUGGGUGCUUUAUUAAAGUCUAUAGCAAUAAAGCUAACACAAACCAGAACCUUUCUGUGUAGUUUUAUGUAACCCUUUAAGAAGUGAUGGAUGUUUUGCAGCAGGAGUGGAGGGAAAUUGGUAGGUUAGGUCAAACUGCACAACAUGAUAAGCAGAACAAUUAAUAGUGCUUACUGUGAAAUAGCAAGCUCCUGGCUCCCCAGAUAUUAUGCCAUUUAUAAAGCAGGACAGAAUGCCUUUAAAGUAUGGCUCUGAUCAAAAGAGUGUCUGUGGAGCUCUGGGUGCAAUAAAGCUGUUGCAUGGAGAUCAUUCUUCUCUGUGUCUGUGCUGUUUUAUCUAUUUUUUAUUUGUUUUAUUUUUUUGCUACUGGUUUUGCCCUUGUUUGCCACAGUGCUGUAGGAGCAUCACAGCUUUGUAGGAAGGUACCAGAUUCCUUUUUUUUCCAAAACUGGCAGCUGAACUGUUAGCUGAAACACUGGCAAUGGUGUCUUUUCCCCAUCAGCUGCCAUUUGCACAAAUUCACUGAAUCAGCUACUGAGCCGUAACUGGGCAUGAUCUGUUUUUGUCUGCGUUCCUCGUGAUGAUGCCAGAAAUCCUCCAUCUCAAAGUGGGUUUGCAGUACCCAUGUUCUGAAAAAGCCUUUAUUUUGUUUGCUGUCCAACACAGAGACUCUAAGCUGCAUGUUGGAAGACACAAAGAACCUAGCAGUGUAGAAUGCAGCUUGCUGACAUACUAAGGUACAUUUUCUUCUCCUUCAGCACCUUGGCUAUUGUGAUCCCCUCAUUAACUCAAGGCAUUCCUCUUUCCAGGUAGCUGCUAAUAGACCAAGCAGGUACUUGUGUCUUCUUUCCUAAAGCCAGAGAAGGAGGAAUCAAACCACAGCAGGAAGCUUUAAAUGGAAAAAGGCACUUAAUGUUGAACAGCCAUCUCUCCUAUCAGAGUAUUAAAAGCCAGCCUCCAGGAUAUCAUUGCCAUCUCAAUCUGUGCAGGGUCUGUGUACCUAAGUCUGUACUCUGCCUUCUCAUGUAGUAACUCUGUUUUUCAUGCAGUGUUAUGUGCUCUUGUUUCUCUUACACAAUGUGCAGGGUUUGUUGAGUAGUGAGGCUGGCACAGAUCUGUUCUUGUGCACUCAAAGCCCACUCUUGUGCUCCUCAUGCCCAUACUAUUAUUUGUACAACUGCACAGUGUUCAGUACUGUGGGCUUUUUUAUUAUCAGGGGUGUCAAGUACAUCCUCUUUUCUCAUUAAACCUAGCUCUAUUCUUAAACUCCUGAAGGGAAUGCAGGGGGAAAGAAGUGGAAUUAAGGUUUUAUAAAAGUGUCUUUUCUUCCUGACUUGGAAGACAAGGUAUUUAUUUUCAAUACAUUAACAUUUUUCACAAAGAAGCUGCAGUUCCCUGCAGGACUGUAGCUCAGCCUUUUGGCAGGCCUGGGAAGCCAGGACUCCCUCACUUGCAUUCAAGUCAUGUUUGGUUGCUUGGCUUUAGGUCAGUGGGGGUUUGCUACAGCUUUGAAGACUAGAAAACAAUCUCUUGUUUCUCCUUUUAAAAACCGAAAGGAGCUAAGCUGGAAAAUGGAAGCUCACUGUAAAAGUGCACCAAGAAGGCCAGGUAUUUGAAGCCAUCUUUCAGCUAAGCCAUGUGUUGUUCCAUUGCCAUAACCGUGGAGCAAACAGCUUGCCCUCCCUGUUCUAUUUAUUGAAAACAAGACCAGGGGAGAGGCUGGAAUUAAUUAAUUGCAUUACCAUAUUGGCAGAGUGUAGAUUCCUGUCCUGGAAGAGUGUCCUUAACAAAAAAAUCUGCCUAAUUACCCCUUGGUCCAGCAGCCUUGAGUGAGAAAAACAGAUUUUGCAAAGUAAAACCUGUUCAGCUGUUACCUUCCCAGUCCACUGCUCUUAAACAAAGCAGUUGCAUCUCUGUGUAAGCCUGUAGUGAAUGAGCUUCAGCUCUCUCCACCAAGUCCCUAUUUAGUUCGUGGGUUGUUUUUUGUUGGGUUUUUUAAUCUCCAAAGGUGUUUCAUUAGCUCAAUUACAAGUGACAGGUUCCACUAUGCUGCUGACCAAAAAAAUUCAGCCAACAUAAAUCCACCUCCAAAUAGAAUCCAAUUAGCUUCUUACUCCCCCUUCCUUUAAUCCCCCAAGCCCUAUGUUCACAGCCACACCUUUUAAAGAAGACGAACAUAAUCUGCUUGAGGUACCUUCACACAUAACAGCUGAGGUAUUUGUACUUGUUUUUUGGUUCACUUGGGCUUGGGUGUAUACUGUUCCUGUUCAAAAAACAAGUGUCCAGUGACAGUUCUCUGGGUGAGGCUCUCCCUAGGUUUGUUUUGUAGGUAUUUUCUGCACCUCACUGUCCCUAUCAGUAAAGGACGCGCAAUGAUCCCCAGUAACACUUAGAAAGGUUGUUGUAUCUGUCAGCUGCAGGCCACUGUGCAACUGCUGAGACCACACAGGAAUAUAAUUGGUGUUACAAACAUGCUUGCUAACAAUUCAGUUUGCUCCCAUGCCCUUCAGAUCUUGGUUAAGCACAGUUCUGAACGCGGUUAAGGUGCCUGGGUGUUGCACUGGCUUCCUGCUCGGGGCUGAGUUUUGCCCUAGAUCCAUUAAUGUUUUGGCAGUGCUGUCAAGACAGUUAGAUGCUGAAGUCAUCAGUAAGGCAUAUAACCCUAAAUGGAUAGGUUGGAUCAGUGACCUACUUUAACAUACGAGUCUUGCGCAAGUCUGACCUUCUCCCCAUGAUCCACCCUGAGACACUUAGCAGCACAACCCAUCUCUGAGCAUCUUGUGUUGUUCUGGACAUGUGCAGAAGGCAUACUAGCAAGGCAGUGAGUCCAUCAGCUGAGGCCAGGAGCUGUGAUUUGGAAACCUUGAGAGCUUGAUUUGGCGGCAGGCUUGCUUUGCAAAUCCACCCAAACAUCUCUUUUUUCUAUUUUGUUUCCAUUAUAUCCACAUUCUUUGUCCCAGAGAACCUAUGCUCCCUGUUAUCUAACAUUGAAUUAGUGUUAGAAUUAUUACUGACAUUUUGUCUGCUUGCAUGCUCAAAUGAGAUCUCAUUCUGGGUUGCAGUUUAGGCUGCUGCAGUUGUUGGUGUUUGUUUUGUUCUGUUAGAAGGUUAUUUUUUAUGUAAUGUUUUAAUAAUAGUAUUAGUAGUAAUGCUUAGAUUUGUUUUUAUCUUACAAGCAUUCUCUUCCAGAUGAGACCACAACAAAUAAGCAGUAACGCUCAGUGAGGGAAUAUGCUGUUGAGGACAGAUCAGCCAUAGGGAGUGAUGAGAACAGGUUCCUGAUGAGGUGGGUGCUGGAGGCUCUAGCUGGAACUUCUCUACGUCAGAUCCAGGAGAUUGAACUGUUGCUUUCAGGAAUCUACGGUUGGAAACGUGCAGGAAAACUACAGUGGAAACUCAACCAGCUGCUAGAGCCCUUCCUAGGAGACCAAAGAUCUAGAAACCCUCUUCUCCAGCCCAAGUGGAAAAAGACCAUAUCAACAAAUAGCUGCCUUGAGGAAAAUGGAAGGCGAUGGCUGCCCAGGAUCUACUGGUGUUCAUUUUGUGGCCUCUGAAUGAAGGGGAAGCCUUUCUGAAGCCUGGGGAAGCUGUGUUACAUUGCAGUGUAGCUCUGCUGAUGGAGGGCCCUCCUGAGAAAAGGGAAAUGAAGACAGUGGCUAUAGGGCCUGUGUUGACAGGAGUCAUCUCUGUUGUCUGGUACCAAAAAAGGAAAGGUUGUCAUGGUUACUGGCCUCCCCUCCUGCCACUUGUCUUCUCUGGAGCCUCAGGCUUGGAGCAGGAUUCAGUGUUUCUCUCCCGUUGAGAUGUUGCUCUGAUCCCUGAAUAUUAGACAUAUCUGCUUUGGCAUGCUCUUGUGACACUUGUGUGCCUGCACAUCUCAAGCAUCUUGGGCUAUGUUCUUCCUGUUCUUCCUUAUGUUCUUGCUGUGGGUUUUUCUGCUUGAAUCUGAUCCCUUUUUUUGUUGUUUUUUUUCCCUCCCCUUCCUGAAUACCACAAGAAGAAGCUUCAGUGUAAGAUGAACAUGUUCCAAAGGACCUGUGUGAACUGUGAUGGAGCUCCACGCAACAAGGGGAUGGCAAGGACAGCAGCAAGCCAUGCUGCAGAAAUUCUUGGAGUAGGAGGAAGGUAACUUGCUGCUGCUUGAUGCCGUGGUUCCUAGCACUCUAAGCAAAGUGCUCCAGGGUAGUGUGGAAUUAACAUCUGAGAGACUGAGGUGGUAUCCCUGUAGAUCCUGACUUCACUCAGAACCUGACCUGCUCCAGUCUGAAUGUCUCUGGUAUUCUGCAGGGUGAAGAGAGGCAUGAGUGUUCCUGGCAGUCUUUACAGCAUGAGCUGUGUUGUUUUGAGUGAGACACAGUAAUUACAGAGGGAACGAGGCUGGGAGCUGCCCCAGCUCUGCACUGGUUCCUCAGAGGCAGUUCUGAACUAUUGUCCUGUCUUUAGAGGAAAAUGGAGGCCUGAGAGGAUUGCCUGAGGCUCCAAUAAGGCAGUGGCAGGUGGCUUUGUAAGCUGUCUUUCAUCCAAGAGACUCAGCUACCCUUAUGUCAGAGGCUAUUCACAUCCUGUAUGGGCAGGACUGUCUUCUUGCUCAUCCCUGGCUCUGGUGGUUCCUGUUGCCUCUCCCUCAUGCUGUGCUUCAGCCAUGGUGUAAUGUAUGGCUGAAACCCCUUUCUAGCUUCCUUCUGCUGAGCUCUCUUUGCCUUGCUGACCCUGUACUUGGCCUAGGUGCCAGCAAGCCCACCAGUAAAUUCUAUGGCUCCCUGCUCUGACCUUGUAACAUCACUGCUUGGAGUGGGAAUUUGCUGUCCAAGAGUGGCAAGGUUUCUGGCCCCGUACAACGGCUUGGCUGUGUUCAGCAAUUUCCCUUUCCUUGCUCUUAAUUUAUUCAGAGCAGCAAGCCAAGUAGACCCAUAGGCACAAUCGAAACAUGGGAUAAAUAUUCUGAGUGGCUUGAUCUAUAGGAACAAGAGCACAGGGGAGGGAAUGAGUUCAUCUCCUCUGUGCUCCUGGCAGGGCUGUUCCUGCAUCUCCUGUGUGCUGCGGUGGGGUGAUAAGCUGGUUGCAGGGAGGACGUACUGUCCCUUCCCUGGAAGAAGAGACUCAUCUGAGCCUUCCUCUUGGGAGCAACCCUUGGUAGGCAGCUAAAAUUUUCCUUUUCCUCUCAUCCCAUGACUCUUAGGGAAUAUCCAGCCCCUUGCAUUGUCCAGAAUAAUUCCACUGUCCAGAGGGUUGGUGCAUUUCAGCAUCUGUAGGGUGGCUCUUCCCUGUAAUUUCCCUUUUGGCUUCUUUUUCCCAGGUUGGUGCUUCCAGCCCCUAAUGAUUUCUUUUGUUCUUGGAGCUGCAGGUUCAUGCAACUUCCCUGCAAGCAUGUUUGUGUAUUAAACAGGGGUAGGAAAGGAGCAGAAAUGUCUUUCAGUCCAAAACAUCCCAGGUCUGUCAGUUCUACUUUAGAAAACCCAAAAGUUGUCACUGCAAUCUCUACUGUGUCCCAAACAGACGAGCAAAACUGGUGUGAGCUGAGGCACAGCGUUUGGGAUCAGCCAGUGCAAAAGGCACCCCGUGAAAGGUGACAGGAUAACAUAGCCUUCUACAAAAGGUUUUGAUCUUCUGGCACAGACAUGAGGAGAAAGGAGCCACCUGGGCGGCUGCUUCGUGCUUUACCCAAACUGAGCAGAAGGCUCUUCAACACGUUCCCUGCUGUGGUUUGACCAGAGGAAUAUUUGAUAAUGCGGCACACACUGCUGAGAUCACCCUUCUGGCAAAUGCCUGCUGUGGUAUGAGACCCAGUCAUCUGGCAGCACAUUGCUUACUGCAGUCUCCACGGCAACCCUCCAUGCUGUUCUUCUUUGGAAGCUCUGUGCAUUCGUAAAGAAGCUGUCAUCCCUCUUACUGUAAGUGCAGCAGAUGUGAAAGAUUUUACCUGUGCCAAUGAACCCCGGGAUGCUGUUGCUCGGAGGGGCAGUGCUGCAUUAGGUAUAAUGCUUCUCUCUGAAAGGCGCUGUCUGUCCACUCGUGGCUUUACAAAAUGUCUCCUGCUUUGUGCUCUGAGCCUUUUCAUGUGUCUGUAGCCAACAGUGUUUGCACAAAGAGACCGGGCUGCCAUGAGGAUUACAGAAGACCUCUUCUGAGGCACAGCCUUGCAGUGCUGACAUCUGCCACACAAAGCAUUCAUUUUGGAAGGCUGGUCCCAAGGUGGAUUUAAUGGUCCUGCACUAAAAUGUGAAUGCUUUUGGUAUGGAAACAACUGAACUGCAAUGUGGACCCUCGUGUUUCGUAGAGGCUUCUCUGUUUCUUCUGAGCUGCCAGCUGUAUUGAUAAGGAGGAGCAGCCAUCUUCUGUGUUGUGGAUGCUGAACCUGGCAGUUCAGAGGGGCCUGCCUCCCCUGUCCCAUCAGAAGCCCUCUGGGGUGAGGCUGUAAGUCAAAUAGGGUGGAUGUCUUCUCUUCUGUGGUAGGUAGGCCUGGUACGUGCUCAGUGCUAGUAGAUAGAAAUCAACUUCAUCAGUUAUGCUGGCCAAUGCUAGAACUCAGUCUGGAACUGUAAGGCUUCAGGUUUAUGUUUUCUCAUGUUUGUUUUUCUGAUUGAUCUAAUGCUCAUGCAGAAUUGAAGGACUGGUGCUUUCUUCUUGCUAAGGGUAUUGCAAUUCUUUGGGGAUGAGCAAAGUAGGAGGAAAGAACUCCGUGCUCUUAGCGUGGAAAGGACCACACUUCCUUGCCUCCCUUGGUAGAUGUGUAGACCUGGACCAGCAGAAUUGUCCAGCUUCAAAAUGGGCGUCUGACUCUACUCCUGGUUGAUGUGGUGGUGGUGUUUUUGUUUGUUUUUUAGGGUCAUCAGCAUACAGCAAGUGACCCCUCUUUUAGGAGGAAGCCCAAGCUGCCAUCUCAGAAGAGUGACUGACUGAAGUGAAAACAAGGAGGUGAGACCUAUUCUGCCCAGUGCACCCGUGAUCUGAGGAGCCCCAGUCCAGGAGCAUCAGCUGGGUUGGAGCUGCUGAUCACAGAAGCUGAGGAGGACCAGGUAUUUGUUAAAUGCAGUGAAGCUACAGCCAUCCACAGGUGAGUAACUGUAUAGCAGAAAUUCUGCUGAGUGGGUUGAGGUUAUUCAUCUUAAAGGAUGGCCUUCUUGCUGUGCGUGCCCGUGGAACAGCCAGGCUGUGUAAAUAGGUUUUACAAGAAGUUGUGUGGGUGUUUUCCUUUGGUUCAGAGCAGGGCUCAUGUACCUUCUAGCUUGUGUUAGAUGAUGCACGUUGUGUCAGAUCUGCUGUUGGGCUGCGGUAGGUUUAAGUGCUGUGCUGUGCCAUGCAGAGGAUGACAGUGUGAGCCCAUUCUUCUUUCCAAAUAGUACCUAAAUCCCACUGCAUCAGAUGCACCCUGCAUUGAAAUGAAGCACCUUUUGGGUUCUGUCAGCUUGUUUCUAUUAACGUGGAGCAGCAGGAGGGCUGUUUCCUCUGACACAUUGCCACUUGGAGGCAAUCAUUUGAACAACAGCCCAGGGGAAAUGGUUUGGAGCUGCCUGGUGAGCUGGGAAAAACAUCAAGUGAGCUGCUGGAGGAAACUCCUUGAGCUGCCCAACCCGAGCACAGGGACUCUAUGGGUCACUUUUCCCCCCCACAGUACCUCAUUUUAGCACCUUGCAGGCAAAGCCAGCUGCUAUGGACUGCUUAGCUCUCUUCUCCAUCUGGUGCUGCCUACUCUUGUUUCCCUUCCCUGCCUGCUCCUUCCUUUCCUCUGCACUUGUUCCCCUUGGCUCCCUCCCCUUUGGCCUUUGGAUUUCUCUCGUCCUCCUCCUGGUGAUGAUCCAGGAGCAUUUGUACCUUGGCUGAGAGGGACAUCUAGUGGGGUCUGAGCUCCAGGGCACAGCUUGGUUUAAUCGUGCUUUUUUUAUUCAUUUAUUCUUUUCUUCAUGAAGAAAUGGCUUCUGUAGGAGCAGGAGCUGAGCUCUGAGUAGUCCUGUAUUGUUUGCCUUAGGGCACAGAGGGCAUCUGGUAGGCCAGCUCAUUGUGUGACUUUAUUUUCAUGUUGUUCUGAUGCUAUGGGAGUCUUGGCUGGGAUUUCCUUGGUUUCUCUGACAGCUUUUAGUACUGCAUAGGACCUGCUUGUUCUGGGUGCAUCCAGGCCUCUGGUAGCCCCUCCACCCCCCAUUGCAUGCCUCACAGUUUCCCCAGGGCUGAUCUCUUACUGCAGGCUUUGUCUCUUGCUGAAAUCCUGCUCUUGGCACUCCUCCUUGGCUUGCUUUAAUGGGCUGCAAGAAGCCAGCAAUAGCAGCAGGGAAGAAAGCACGUGAGGGGAAAGAUUGCUGUGCUCUCGUGUGAGGCUGUAGGGAAUGGAGGGGGAAGGAGGGGGGGUAUUUAGGGAAUUAAUUGUCUGUCUCAUCACUGGAGUCCCAAGCCUGUAGGUCUCCAGUCCUGAUAGAGGCUUCUAAGCUUGAUGUAGCUUAGGGAGUUGCAGCCCAGUGUUGGCACUCACCAGGCUGCAGGAGGUGUGAGCACAGAAGCUGGGCAAGGAGGGAAGCAAAGCAGUAAUCAUGCAGCUCCAAAGCAGCAAGUGCUUGCAAAGCUUUGGGGUAGGGCAGUUCUAUGCUGCUUCCUUCCUUUUGUCUGCACAAUACUCUGACCCGGGUUAUUGAACCCUGGAGGCAGGCUUAAGGGUGCUGGCCUUUCUCUGCCAAGGGUGAAGGUGAUGCUGGAGCCAUAGCUCAGCCACCCAUUAAUGUUUGCAGCUCUUGUCCCAACUACUCCAAGCUCUGCGUUGCCAAACCCUCAAGACUGCAGUGCAAACACAACUCAUCUCGAGUUGUAGGCACAGUAAAUGCACAUCCAAAGCAAGGAUCAGUGUGGUGUGUUUUUCCCCUGCUCGUCUCCUUUGUGUAUCAGAUGAUGUUAUCCAGGGUUUUCAAUCACCCCUUCUGGUGUGGAUGGCACUGGGAGCUCACAAUGGUGGGAGAAAGGAGCUUUCCAUUAGAGGCAGGCUCACAAAGAAGUGAAUGCAGCCCUUUGCUGGCAGUUAGUUUCUGGUUACAUGUAUGUUUGGGGCAUGAAGGAAACGUGCUGGCAAAAGCAAGGAUGAAAUCAAUGCUUGAGCCAAAAAGGCUUUUAAGAAACCUUCCUUCUCUUUCCCCAGUAAUUCAGGGCAGAUGAUGCUUAGUGCAAAGCCUGUCUUGGGGAUAGCUGGGAGCGAGCACUCAUUUGUGCUGCCUGGAGGUAAGGCUGAGCCCACCUGCUCCUGGGUGAGGCAGGGCUGGUGGGUCUCCAGCUCUCUGAUGCUGUUUGUUUCUUGCCUGUUGCAGUAGUUUGAGUGCUGCUGGUCUAGAGGACUUCGAUCUACUCUGCAGAUUCAGUAGCAGCCUGCAGUCUGGUGAGAAAACCAAGAGAGGAUUUGCCUGCACCAGACCAGGAGCCCAUCCAGCAGCAGGACUGGACAGAGGGUCUGCACAGAGGGAGAAGUGAAGCACAGGCCCUCCCCUGCGAGCCCUAGCAGCUGUGCUUCUGGCACACCCUGGCCAAUGCAUCACCUUGCCAGCCACAUCUGCCUCUGCAGCGCUCUGGUGAGACUAUAAAGCAGUUAAAAUCCUUCUGUCCCCCAGACAAAGAAGCUGGCAGGAACAGAGAGCAGCUGUGUGCUGCACAAAUCCAUCUGCACCCUGUGUCCAGGCUGGACUUUGGAUUUGAGAAACGGUUUGGUUGUGAGCUGUUGGUGGCUUGUGGUGUUUUAUUUAUCUUUUUCCUUGUGGUGUCUUUUGGGUUGUGUGUGGUUCUUCCUCUUUUUUUUUCAGCUUUUCUGCUUUUUCCUUAGGGUUUGCUUUCCUGGCUGUAGGAAGCAGUGCAGCUGAGCACACAGAGCAGUCCCUGUGCCAGCUACAGAAGAAACUGCAGCAGCUCAGUGCUGUCUCUGUGUUUCCAGGCGGGAAGCUGUUUGCAGCACUGCCUGUGUCAGCACCUCUUCCAGUACAGCACAAAGGAGCUGUGCCUCUCUGGAAUGGGCUGGGGACCUGAGGCUGCCCAAAGUCAGAGCCUGAUGCAGUUGCUGAGAAGGAGAAGAGGGGCCAAGCUGUGGGAACACCCCUGUCUGUCCCUGGGAUCUCCCUGUGAGGACGAAGUCACAGCGCAAUGCAGCACCUCAGUGCAGUGGGAAUGGUGGUGCUGGGUACCAAGGAGCAACGUGAAGCACAAUGAGAAGGUAAUGCCUAUUUCUCUGCUCUCGGGGCAGGGCCCUGCCUUUUCCAGGUUUCCCUCCACAGCCACAUUGCAGCUCUGCUUCUCUCCCUCAGUGCUGCAGCCCUGGGCUCCUUACGCAGCGUUGCAUGGACAGAAGAGCAGAAGCCAAGCUGGACACAGGCUGACAGCUUCUCCCCCCUCAUCACUGAAGACCAGAUGGAAGAU